GGGACCUGCAGCUCAUUCGCAAUGUUUGAUACCACAUGGGCUAUAACAGAAGAUUGGGGGCCAACAAUUGCCAUAGUAUCCGUCUCCAUGAAACGGAUAGCCUCAACUAUUCCAAGAAAUCCACUGGCAUUACUGUCCAAUGUUAUCAUAUUCAGUUUAGUUCCUCCAAGAACAUCUGGAUUGGAAUUUAUAUCCUCAACAGCAGCUUCCGCAGCAACUUUAGUAACUUUCCCAACAAGUGUAUUGAAAGACACCAUACACCCAAUGUUCACAACUUUAGGCCUUGCAGAAAGAGUUGAAUUAACCCCCUCUGAAGAACACCCAUUGUAGAGAACUACUAAAAUUAUUGUCCAAAAUAGUCUCAUAGUGAACUUGGGUACAAAAAU
rnacentral:misc_RNA from 1 species